rnacentral:rRNA from 1 species
UGUGGGCGUGCCCGAAAGGGAACCUAGACACAGGUGCUGCAUGGCUGUCGCCAGCUCGUGUCGUGAGAUGUUGGGUUAAGUCCCGCAACGAGCGCAACCCUUGCCAUUAGUUGCUACAUUCAGUUGGGCACUCUAAUGGGACCGCCGGUGACAAACCGGAGGAAGGUGGGGAUGACGUCAAGUCCUCAUGGCCCUUAUGGGUAGGGCUUCACACGUAAUACAAUGGUCGGUACAGAGGGCUGCCAACCCGCAAGGGGGAGCUAAUCCCAGAAAGCCGAUCGUAGUCCGGAUUGUAGUCUGCAACUCGACUGCAUGAAGCCGGAAUCGCUAGUAAUCGCGGAUCAGCAUGUCGCGGUGAAUACGUUCCCGGGUCUUGUACACACCGCCCGUCACACCAUGGGAGUGGGUUCCACCAGAAGUAGUUAGCCUAACCGCAGGGAGGGCGAUUACCACGGUGAGAUUCAUGACUGGGGUGAAGUCGUCGUAACAAGGUAGCCGUA